AAGUCGAACGCUUUUUCUUUCACCGGAGCUUGCUCCACCGAAAGAAAAGGAGUGGCGAACGGGUGAGUAACACGUGGGUAACCUGCCCAUCAGAAGGGGAUAACACAUGGAAACAGGUGCUAAUACCGUAUAACAAUCGAAACCGCAUGGUUUCGGUUUGAAAGGCGCUUUUGCGUCACUGAUGGAUGGACCCGCGGUGCAUUAGCUAGUUGGUGAGGUAACGGCUCACCAAGGCAACGAUGCAUAGCCGACCUGAGAGGGUGAUCGGCCACAUUGGGACUGAGACACGGCCCAAACUCCUACGGGAGGCAGCAGUAGGGAAUCUUCGGCAAUGGACGGAAGUCUGACCGAGCAGCGCCGCGUGAGUGAAGAAGGUUUUCGGAUCGUAAAACUCUGUUGUUAGAGAAGAACAAGGAUGAGAGUAGAAUGUUCAUCCCUUGACGGUAUCUAACCAGAAAGCCACGGCUAACUACGUGCCAGCAGCCGCGGUAAUACGUAGGUGGCAAGCGUUGUCCGGAUUUAUUGGGCGUAAAGCGAGCGCAGGCGGUUUCUUAAGUCUGAUGUGAAAGCCCCCGGCUCAACCGGGGAGGGUCAUUGGAAACCGGGAAACUUGAGUGCAGAAGAGGAGAGUGGAAUUCCAUGUGUAGCGGUGAAAUGCGUAGAUAUAUGGGGGAACACCAGUGGCGAAGGCGGCUCUCUGGUC
rnacentral:rRNA from 1 species